GCGCGAGCACGCACGCGCGCGGAUCCCGUAGGCGUUCGGUAUAUUCAAGGGGGCGACGUGAGUUAUGGACCCCUUGAGCGCACAAGGUGAGAUUCCUGGCCACGUCUUCAGCUUCUCCUGUUUCUUCACAAGUGAACAUCAAAGGACAUGUCCCUUGGGUGAAGUCAAAAGUUUGUGCAUGCCCAACCAUCUUCACAAACUGCACUCUUACUAUAUAAAGAUUUCAGAAAGAACCAAGAAAGGGGAUGCCAUAAAAAGAACCUUUUUUGUAAAUGAUGCCAUAGAAGAACCUUUAUUUGCUAAGAGAUGUCAUAGAAGAAACGUUUCUUGGUAAGCAAUGCCAUGGAAGAACCUUUAUUGGAAAGCGAUGUCAUAAAAGAAACGUUUCUUGGUAAGCGAUGCCAUAGAAGAACCUUUUUGGAAAGUGAUGCCAUAGAAGAACCUUUAUUGCAAAGCGAUGCCAUAGAAGAACCUUUUUUGCAAAGCGAUGCUAUAGAAGAACCUUUAUUGUAAAGCGAUGCCAUAGAAGAACCUUUUUUGGAAAGCGAUGUCAUAAAAGAAACGUUUCUUGGUAAGCGAUGCCAUAGAAGAACCUUUUUCGGAAAAUGAUGCCAUAGAAGAACCUUUAUUGCAAAGCGAUGCCAUAGAAGAACCUUUAUUGCAAAGCGAUGCCAUAGAAGAACCUUUUUCGGAAAGUAAAGCCAUAGAAGAACCUUUAUUUGGGAUGUAAAGGGGAUGCUCGACAUAAACAUUAAAAAAAAUCGGUGUGAUGUUUAGUGUAAGAAGACAGAAGCAUAUAGUAUUUUUGGAAGGAGUCUUCAGUGUCAGUGCUUUAUAGCAGUCAGAUACUGUCGAGGGAUUUCCGUUUUCUCCCCCACAUGACAAAGAGCAUUGAACCAGUCUGCCAAAUCUCCUCUGACCUCCUCUGACCUUUCUCAUCAACAAGGGUGUUUUGCAUGCAUAACUGCCAUUCACUGGAUGUUAUUGUGUCCUUCAGGCCAUUUUUGGUAAACUCCAGGUCCUACUGUGUGUGAAAACCCCAAAGAUAAAGGCAAUGAUAGGCAAUGAGAUAAAGCCCUUCAGAGCUUAUUUACAGUAUGUCCUGAUGUGCCGGAAACCCACAUAAACAAGUCUUUUUAAGAUCCUAAACAAACAAAUACACUAAUCUGAUGUGGUUAAACUUCUAUUACUUCAGAGAUAAACUACAAGCACCAAAUAUCUCCUGGAUGAGAGGUUCUAUAUUGACUGAGAACUGAGCCAGAGGUACCCAAACAUUGUCCUUCGAAGGGCCAAAAAUCAACCUUGAUUGACUCAAAUUCAAUACUGCAGUGAUGUAAAUGCUAAAAACAUCUGGUCCCACUGCACUUUUAGAAAGCUGGAGAAUGUUUUGCUUCAUAAUGAUUAUAAAUAAUGUAUUCUUCCAAAACUCUUGCUGGUGUGCCACUGCCUUGAUCUUUCCAUAAUUACCUGUUGUUUGGGUUUCCUGAAGCAUGUUGUACGUAUAACUUAAAAAAGUCAAAUUCAUUGAUAUAUUUAUAUAUCAAUAUAAAUAUUAGGUUAAAUGUUUAAUUAGAAAUAAAGACCUGUGACAAUGGCAUUGUUUUUUCUGGGUUUUUUUCUAUAUCUCCUUUAUGGCAUUGUGGGCCAAAUUAAAGGUCUCCAUGGGCCAAAAUUGUCCUGAAAGCCCCACUUUGAGCAUCUCUGGUCAGUGCCUACCUUUGCUACAAUAAACCUUAGCUUGAGUUUGGACUUCAGUCCGUGGUUUGAUCUUGGGUCAAUGUCUGUAUAGAGUCUGUGCACAUUCUCCAUGGAUUUACCUCCAAAAAAUAUCUAUUGUUGGAAUGGGGAUCUCUAGGUGUGAAUGUAGAUGAGCAUGGUGAUGCCAUGUGCCAGACUGAUAGUGCUUACAUUACAUUUGUUCCCAGGAUAGGGUCUGGAUCCUGACCAGGCAAAGCAUCUACUGGAAAAGAACAAAUGAAUAAAUUAAUGAAUAUUCCUUUUUAAUAACUGUUCUCAGAUGUUAAAAUAUGCAUGUGAAAAAGCAUUAAUUAGAUUAUGAAUGUGCAUCAGUAAUUACUACAUUUGUGAUUGCAGACACAAAAAAAGACUUAUAAAAAACCUGUUUAAUAAUUUAGGAAUAAGACAGGAAUAUAUUAUUUGUGGUCCCACUUUUAUACUUUUUAUUUGUUUAUAUUUAAAUUAUAAAUGAAAAAUAUUUAAUUAAAUUUUAAUUUAAGAUGG